AGUUUCACUGCCGUUACGUGCCAUGCAAAUUCCACGGCCACGUUUGCUGACUUCCGAACCCUCUCCCCUUCUCCUUCGUAUCCACGUGCAGUGCAGACCUUCGUUCAUCGGGUAUGUGAGCAGAGAAACGAGGAGAUCAACCUUGGAAGGAAGAUGAGCAGCCUUCUUGCCCGUGGAUGCCGAUCCUCCACCUUGAAGUCGACGACGUCCGCUGCGCUGCCUGCGUUGGGCGACUACGCACGCGGUCGCAGGUACUGCGCGGAGAAGAAGGAUGAACCGCAGAGAGUGGUGGAGAAGGCGACGUCGACGGCCGAAGAGUUCCUGCGGCAAGCCAGGGAGAAGUCCGAAGCAGUCGGCGAGAGCGCCAGGGAAGUCGUGGAGGACGCCAAGGAAGCAGUUCUCGGCGAGUCAGAGGAGAGGAAGCAGCAGAAGGUGGAGAAGGGAAACUACGAUAAGAUCGGGACGGACUAAUCGGAGGAUAUGUGAACAGUGCUUGUUCGAGGUGGCACGUCCAUCCAAAUAAAACCGCGCUGCAUCUCAUGGUUUCAUCUGAUGUUUGGGUGCCCGGAAAUAUUAUUACACUUGUUUUUAUUGAAUAUAAUGGAUAGUAUUAAAUCGGA